rnacentral:tRNA from 1 species
GGACGGAUGGCUGAGCGGUUUAAGGCACUGGUUUUGAAAACCAGCGUACGGGUGACCGUACCGGGGGUUCAAAUCCCUCUCCGUCCG